GGGGCCAUAGCUCAGCUGGGAGAGCGCUACAAUGGCAUUGUAGAGGUCACCGGUUCGAUCCCGGUUGGCUCCACCA
rnacentral:tRNA from 2 species